AAUUGCAAACUUGAGAAUUUCUGAUAUUGCUUAAUCCCUGGUUCCCCACAAGCACCUCCCUUCCUGCUCUUCCUGUUUCGCUUCUCUUUGCUGAUCUCCGUGUCAGACGACCUUCUUUAGCACAAACAGCACAGAUCUGCCGGACUCACAGCUGGACCAACGAGGCAGAGUGGAACCAAACCAGCAGCAGAGAGAUGAUGAAAGAACCUGUAGAAGAAUCACCAACUAAAGCAGCUUCCACAGCAGAAGAGGAGCUUGCCAGGGUGCGGUCAGCUUUUGUUUGGAGGGUGUCAACAGAAAUCCUUAAACAGCUCCUUGAGGCCCUUGUAAGUGACGGUGUCUUAAAUGAAUUGGAGAAAGAAUCAAUACUGGAAGGGAACCCAGUCAGAGCAGAUAAGGCACGUUGCUUCAUUGAUACAGUGAGGAAGAAAGGGGACAAAGCCAGCAGGAUCAUGGUCAGACAUCUUCAGACUAUAGAUCUCUCCCUUUUCUCUCAGCUGCGUUUAUACUCUGAUCCAUCUGCUCAACAAGGUGAGUCCACUUUUCUCUGUAGUUUGUUGAGAUGUGAAGUGUAAAACCUCAGAAUUUAAUAUAACGAAAAGCAGAAAGCGGGAACUUCAUUCCACAACAUACAUUUGGAUUUAUUAAAGGGCUGCUCACAAUGGAAAAAAAAAACCUUUCCCAAACGGCCAUGACGGAGUGAAGAUCAUUAAAAGAUGUAUUGGUAGCAGAAUAAACCCUGCAAUUACCUCUUAAAUCCAUGCCUGCAAGACCACUCUAACGACAAU